GAAUAUUGGUCAAUGGGCGGAAGCCUGAACCAGCCAUGCCGCGUGGAGGAUGACGGCCUUCUGGGUUGUAAACUUCUUUUAUAUGGGAAGAAAAGUACGGUUUCUACUGUAUCCGACGGUACCAUAUGAAUAAGCACCGGCUAACUCCGUGCCAGCAGCCGCGGUAAUACGGAGGGUGCAAGCGUUAUCCGGAUUUACUGGGUUUAAAGGGUGUGUAGGCGGAUAUUUAAGUCAGAGGUGAAAUCUCCGAGCUCAACUCGGAAACUGCCUUUGAUACUAUUUAUCUUGAAUUUCGUUGAGGUUGGCGGAAUAUAUCAUGUAGCGGUGAAAUGCAUAGAUAUGAUAUAGAACACCGAUUGCGAAGGCAGCUGGCUGAACGAACAUUGACGCUGAGGCACGAAAGCGUGGGUAGCGAACAGG
rnacentral:rRNA from 1 species